rnacentral:snRNA from 1 species
GGGUGAUCUGGCUGUGACAUCUGUCACCCCACUGAUCCCCAGGGUUGAUUUGGCUGAUCUGGCUGACUAGGCGGGUGUCCCCGCUCCAUGUGCAUCCCUCCCAAAACUGCAUGCUCAGUCAAAGAGGAUGACCAUCCCCGAUAGAGGAGGACUGUUCUUCGGUUAAGGGUAUACAACUAACUGUGCUCCCUUGCUAGAACCUAGAAACAAUCUCUCAAGAAUACAAACAACAAAUGCUGACAAGGACUGUGGGUGGGGAAUAAACCCCCAUAUAGUGUUGGUGG